rnacentral:lncRNA from 1 species
AUGUGUGCCAUCCUCAGCAUCCCUGCUGCUUCUCAUCCAACUUGUCUUCCCGCUAACCUUUUCCCAUUCCACCUGCUUCGCCACGACCUCAUCCACUCUGAGGAAUUCUCAUCCACUUGUGCCGACUUUCUCUCUUCCAUCUGCACCUUCAUUUCUGGUUUCUCAGGAUGUGGGCUCAGCUGGGGCACCCCAUCCUCCCGCGAGCGCUUCCACACCUCCCCCAUGUUUGCGGCCAUUUUCUCCAUCUCCUCGCCCUUCCGGCCCACCUCCGACGGUCACCACAGGCGAGCAGCGCGCGGCUCCCGAGAGGGGGCUCGAGGGGCGGGGCCGACGCGCGGAAAGUGCGUCACUUCCGGGCGCCAAAACACACGAAAAAGUGCUGCGGAAUCCGCUCAGUGGAGAUGUUGUGAGUCUCCAGUAGGGAGGAUAGAUUAGAGAUAGAUAUAAAUAAGUGAUAGAUCGAUGGAAUAGAACAGUGAAUUAAUAAAUAUUUAAAAAUAAAUGCGUCAUCAAGACCACAGCGGUGGCCUGGGGAUUUAGCUCAGUCUUUCUGCGGCCUGCCCUGCAAGCUCAAGGACCCGAGUUCGAUCCCCGGUUCCAAAAAAAAAAAGACCACAGCAGUAUGCUGGACAUGGUGCAACCCUGUAAUCCCACCGCUCUGGAGGCUGAGGCGGGAAGAUUGCCAUGAGUUCAAGGCCAGCCUGGGCUACAUAGUGAGUUCAAAGCUAGGCUGAACUACAUAGCAAGACCCUGUCUCAAAAAACGAAAACCGAAAACAACCCCAAAACAAGAACAAAAAACUACAGGCAUCCUGAUGAAAUUUAGAGUGCCAAGUCUCUGCUUUCGGGAUUUCAUCACAUCAUCCUGUGAUAGGAAUUAGGGCAUGUCAAAAAAAAGACAGGUUUAGGGCCGGGGAUUUAGCUCUGGUUUCACCGCCUGCUGCGCAAGCGCAAGGACCCGAGUUUGAUCCCCGGUGCCAAAAAAAAAAAAACUGAUUGGGGGGGAAUGAAAAAAAAAACGUGAUUGGGAAAUUAGGCAGGACCUGUCAACUACAAGAUCCCAGGAUGGUGCAAAUAAUUGGCAGGACCCAGUAUGAGGUGUGGAUGACAAAGACACAGACACCAGGAGGAGCUCCGGGUAUCCUCUAUCUUCACAGUAAGCCACCCUGUCCUUUAGACCACAGUGUACAUUUAUUUUUGCUCCCUUUCUCCUUUCCUCUUUUGUUCAGCCCAAGUUCACUCUGCAGAGUCAGUUUUUCCCUUGCUCCUUCACCUUUCACUUUUUUUUUUAGGUACCGGGAAUUCAACUUGGGACCUUGGGCUUGCGAGGCAGGCGCUGGAACCACUGGGCUAAAUCCCCGGCCCAUCUUUCACUCUUUUAACAUUUUCAUGUUUUAUUGGUACAUUUUAGGUAUACAAUAUAAUGACAUCCAUCACUGGAAAUUUGCACCUUUACAUAAUCUCUCUUGGUCCUUUUUCCAUCUUUGAAAUAAAGAUUUGGCACCGUUUUUGGCUUGUCUUGUCCAGUUCUUUGAGGCCAGAAGAACCUGAAAUACAUUUAAUUGGCACACCAAUUCUCCCCCUCCCCCUUUCCUGGGGCUUGAACUCAGGAUCUUGUGCUUGUGAAGCAGGCUUGGAGGCAGGCCAGUUCUAAAGGACCUGCCUGAAAAGAAUCCCCUCACCCCUGUCACCACCUCCCACUUGGAUGACUAGGAAGAAGAAGCAGAAAGUAGAACUGAGCAGGCGCCUGGCCCCAGGUCCCUUAGGCAGGGGUAGCACGUGCCCUGUGAUCACAGUCCCCACCGGUGCCAUGCUGAGCUUGUGCCACCCAGGUGAAGUAUUGGGGCCCAGACAUUGAGGCCCGGCCUCCUCAGGGCCCCCAAUGCCAGGCAGCAGAGCCUCAGCUGAGGCUACGUGGAACCCGGCAGGUCCCGGCUGAGAGGCCAGAAAGGGUUCAUGAAUAAGGUCAGGUGGCUGUGCUGAGGAGCAGCUUUUCUGUUGCUCUGCUCUUUGGGUGUCGUGAGAAACAGGAGCUAUGCGAACCCUGCCUGACCUCUGCAAAGGAUCCUGCCUUCCUGGCCUGCAUCCUAAUUUGUCUUCUUCAGGGAUUGUCAGUCUUAUUAGGUGAAGGUCACAGUCAGGAAUCUCCUGUGUGAAACCCUGAGAGGGCUGGGGUGCGGCUCAGUGGUAGAGCAAGUAGAACAAAGCCUGACCUUUACUUUGUGAAACUCUGGGUCAAACCCUCCUCAGCUCCGCAGAGCCCGGUUAGUCGUCCAGCGAGUGCCUGUCUAGAGGUUGGUGAAACCAGGUUUAACAGUGCUAAGGUUAGCCCCUUAUCAGUGUUCCAGACUGAGCACCGCGACAGGCAGUUUACAGGCGC